ensembl:ncRNA C05D2.14 ncRNA
ACACACUCAUUCACAUAGGUGAUAGACGUGCUACAGACCGUGGGAGACUCGAACGGGUAGUAGGGCGGAGCCGGGAACCGCGACGCAACCGAAACGCUUCAGAAACCGCAACGGAACAGGCAUGCGAAGCGGUCAAGAUUCGAAAAAGAAAACGGAGCGAA